rnacentral:rRNA from 1 species
AUUGAACGCUGGCGGCAGGCUUAACACAUGCAAGUCGAACGGAGGGGCGCACGGGUGAGUAAUAUGUUGGAAUGUCCCGAGUAGUGGGGGAUAACCAGUCGAAAGAUUGGCUAAUACCGCAUAUUAUGCGAUCGGCCAAUAUCGGAUUACUGGUGGGUGGGGUAAAGGCUUACCAAGGCGACGAUCCGUAGCGGGUCUGAGAGGAUGAUCAGCCACACUGGGACUGAGACACGGCCCAGACUCCUACGGGAGGCAGCAGUGGGGAAUAUUGCACAAUGGGCGCAAGCCUGAUGCAGCCAUGCCGCGUGUGUGAAGAAGGCCUUCGGGUUGUAAAGCACUUUCGGUAGGGAGGCGGUACCUACAGAAGAAGCACCGGCUAACUCCGGCCAGCAGCCGCGGUAAUUC